AUUGAACGCUGGCGGAAUGCUUUACACAUGCAAGUCGAACGGCAGCACGGACUUCGGUCUGGUGGCGAGUGGCGAACGGGUGAGUAAUGUAUCGGAACGUGCCCAGCCGUGGGGGAUAACGUAGUGAAAAUUACGCUAAUACCGCAUCCGAUCUAUGGAUGAAAGCGGGGGAUCGCAACACCUCGCGCGAUGGUAGCGGCCGAUAUCAGAUUAGGUAGUUGGUGGGGUAAAGGCCCACCAAGCCAACGAUCUGUAGCUGGUCUGAGAGGACGACCAGCCACACUGGAACUGAGACACGGUCCAGACUCCUACGGGAGGCAGCAGUGGGGAAUUUUGGACAAUGGGCGAAAGCCUGAUCCAGCCAUUCCGCGUGCAGGAUGAAGGCCCUCGGGUUGUAAACUGCUUUUGUACAGAACGAAAAGGUUUCUACUAAUACUAGGAGCUCAUGACGGUACUGUAAGAAUAAGCACCGGCUAACUACGUGCCAGCCGCCGCCGUAA
rnacentral:rRNA from 1 species